AUGAGGCAGAUUGUAUCCCAGCUAAUUAAUUCUGCGUCCUUGUACAACACAUCAAUGAUGCGAUCACAGUGUCUGUCAGAUCCGUUCAAAGUUGCUCAGUGUUUCCUGAACUUGCCUUGUGUUUUCUCGCCAGGAUACGGGCCGUUCGCUGGCAUUGGAUAUCCUGGAGCCAGACCCGGUGCGUCUGCAGCAGAUUUGGGUGGACCUGAGCUGGCCGGUCUGGGCCAAGCUGUUCAAGAUCUGAAGAGACAAAAGAGCAGAGCUCUUGGUUCCUUGUUUGGAAGAGGCGGUGUUCGUGAGCUUUCUAGACCCGAAUUACAGGUUGAAAGUCGUAACCCAGUAGUCGUGCCAGCCAAUCCCGCGUCAUCGGGACCUCUUGAUGCCUCACGUGUAGAAGAAGGAGACGGUUAUGAUCCCGCGGUCUUGAAAAGGAAGAGCUCCACGCGUCAUGGAGCCACACUGACGGCUGGAGGCCUCCAACAGCAACUGCCCCUCAAAAGUCCAAAUAUGAGAGGACUGACGCCUGGUCCGUCUCAAGCAAAGAGCGCCAAAGACUACGAGUCCUCACUUGGGCCAAAUCACCAGACUCCAAGCUGUGGAUCUGCCAGUGAUUUGUCAGAUGCACUGGAAAACAGUCGCCACGGCAUUCUGGGUUUAGACACACAGGAGCCCCAGCGUUUGGUGCCGCCCGUUAGUAAAGACAGCAAAUAUCUUCAAGGAAAAACAACCUAUCCUCUCCCUGGAGCUCAAACCCAUGAAGCCAGAAGCCUCAUAUCGUCUCUUCCUCUAGGUCAGGGAGCCAGGAGCUAUUUAUUAGCAGCGGAAGACAAACAGAGAGUCAAAGACCUCGGUCUUGUGCCCGAGGACAGAAACGGGCUCAGGAUCCGUGGGAGCGUUGCUGUGGAAAAGCGCUCUCGUGGAUCCGUGAGUCUUCAAGUGCAAGGAAGGAGGAACUCUGGACCAAGUGGGAGCCAGGGUUUAGGCACGGUGUCGGUAGGAGGGCAGGAAGCUGAAGGCUUCACUGCUGGUGGUGAGGAGGCAAAGCACCUUCCACAUGCUGAAAGGGAUGUGAUUGAACCCAAAGCUCGCGGUCUCCCAUUGCAGACUGGGAGGAGUAACCAAGCAACAAGUUACAUUGGGGGAGCAGGGAGCUACCUGGGUGCGGCCUUGGGCGCUGGGGGCUACGGAACAGGUUUGGGACAGGGAGCGUACCUGGGCGGUGCAGCUGGGAAGCUGGGAGCUGCCGCGGCGCUCGGACAGGGAGGCUAUCCCCAAGGUGCUGCAGGGAUUUCAAACGGUGCGUGCGUCCUCUGCUCGCUGUGGAUUCUAAAUUUCCGAUCCUUCUACACUGGUGUUCGAUUUCACUUUGAGUGUGACUGGAGGUCGUUGACUCCUACUUUGCCUUGUAAACGAAUCAUUUGAUUUCAUCUGCACUUUGCAUGAAAUGCCUGAGAAUAAGUUGCUUUAAAUCUGUUAAGCUGAAUAAAUGAGGGCGCUUUUUUGUGGCCA
rnacentral:lncRNA from 1 species